UGGGGAAUAUUGGGCAAUGGGGGAAACCCUGACCCAGCAACGCCGCGUGAAGGACGAAGGCCUUCGGGUUGUAAACUUCUUUGAUCAGGGACGAAACAAAUGACGGUACCUGAGGAACAAGCCACGGCUAACUACGUGCCAGCAGCCGCGGUAAUACGUAGGUGGCAAGCGUUAUCCGGAUUUACUGGGUGUAAAGGGCGUGUAGGCGGUCUUGCAAGUCGGAAGUGAAAUUCCCGGGCUUAACCCGGGCGCUGCUCCCGAAACUGCGAGACUUGAGUACUGGAGAGGAUAGUGGAAUUCCUAGUGUAGCGGUAAAAUGCGUAGAUAUUAGGAGGAACACCAGUGGCGAAGGCGGCUAUCUGGACAGUAACUGACGCUGAGGCGCGAAAGCGUGGGGAGCAAACAG
rnacentral:rRNA from 1 species